UAUUGUUGAUGGCUCUGGUAGUGGUGGUAGUGGUGGUGGUAGCGGCACUCUGGA
rnacentral:ribozyme from 1 species